rnacentral:rRNA from 1 species
AGCGAACGCUGGCGGCAGGCUUAACACAUGCAAGUCGAGCGGGCAUCCUUGUGGUGUCAGCGGCAGACGGGUGAGUAACGCGUGGGAACGUGCCCUUCGUUUCGGAAUAACUCAGGGAAACUUGAGCUAAUACCGGAUACGUGCGAGAGCAGAAAGGUUUAUCUGCCGAAGGAUCGGCCCGCGUCUGAUUAGCUAGUUGGUGAGGUUAUGGCUCACCAAGGCGACGAUCAGUAGCUGGUCUGAGAGGAUGAUCAGCCACACUGGGACUGAGACACGGCCCAGACUCCUACGGGAGGCAGCAGUGGGGAAUAUUGGACAAUGGGGGCAACCCUGAUCCAGCCAUGCCGCGUGAGUGAUGACGGCCUUAGGGUUGUAAAGCUCUUUUCUCCGGGACGAUAAUGACGGUACCGGAGGAAUAAGCCCCGGCUAACUUCGUG